UACGAAGGGGGCUAGCGUUGCUCGGAAUCACUGGGCGUAAAGGGUGCGUAGGCGGGUCUUUAAGUCAGGGGUGAAAUCCUGGAGCUCAACUCCAGAACUGCCUUUGAUACUGAAGGUCUUGAGUUCGGGAGAGGUGAGUGGAACUGCGAGUGUAGAGGUGAAAUUCGUAGAUAUUCGCAAGAACACCAGUGGCGAAGGCGGCUCACUGGCCCGAUACUGACGCUGAGGCACGAAAGUGUGGGGAUCAAACAGG
rnacentral:rRNA from 1 species